rnacentral:rRNA from 1 species
GAUGAACGCUAGCGACAGGCUUAACACAUGCAAGUCGAGGGGCAGCGGGGGCGAAAGCUUGCUUUCGCCUGCCGGCGACCGGCGCACGGGUGAGUAACACGUAUGGAACCUGCCCUAUGCAGGGGGAUAAGCGGAAGAAAUUCCGUCUAAUACCGCAUAACACCAUUUGGAGACAUCUCCAGGUGGUCAAAGGAGGCGACUCCGGCAUAGGAUGGCCAUGCGUCGCAUUAGCUAGUCGGCGGGGUAACGGCCCACCGAGGCGACGAUGCGUAGGGGUUCUGAGAGGAAGGUCCCCCACAUUGGAACUGAGACACGGUCCAA